rnacentral:rRNA from 1 species
GUGGGGAAUAUUGGACAAUGGGCGAAAGCCUGAUCCAGCAAUGCCGCGUGAGUGAUGAAGGCCUUAGGGUUGUAAAGCUCUUUUACCAGGGAUGAUAAUGACAGUACCUGGAGAAUAAGCUCCGGCUAACUCCGUGCCAGCAGCCGCGGUAAUACGGAGGGAGCUAGCGUUGUUCGGAAUUACUGGGCGUAAAGCGCGCGUAGGCGGUUACUCAAGUCAGAGGUGAAAGCCCGGGGCUCAACCCCGGAACUGCCUUUGAAACUAGGUGACUAGAAUCUUGGAGAGGUCAGUGGAAUUCCGAGUGUAGAGGUGAAAUUCGUAGAUAUUCGGAAGAACACCAGUGGCGAAGGCGACUGACUGGACAAGUAUUGACGCUGAGGUGCGAAAGCGUGGGGAGCAAACAGGAUUAGAAACCCCUGUAGUCC